UCUGGUGGCAGUGGCGGAGGGGUUCCACGCGUACCCAUCCCGAACACGACCGUUAAGCCCUCCAGCGCCAAUGGUACUUGGACCGAAGGGUCCUGGGAGAGUAGGACGUCGCCAGGC
rnacentral:rRNA from 1 species